UACGUAGGGUGCAAGCGUUGUCCGGAAUUAUUGGGCGUAAAGAGCUCGUAGGCGGUUUGUCGCGUCUGCUGUGAAAACGCGAGGCUCAACCUCGCGCCUGCAGUGGGUACGGGCAGACUAGAGUGCGGUAGGGGAGAGUGGAAUUCCUGGUGUAGCGGUGGAAUGCGCAGAUAUCAGGAGGAACACCGAUGGCGAAGGCAGAUCUCUGGGCCGUUACUGACGCUGAGGAGCGAAAGCGUGGGGAGCAAACAGG
rnacentral:rRNA from 1 species